rnacentral:rRNA from 1 species
UGGCGAACGGGUGAGUAACACGUUGGUGAUCUGCCCUGCACUUCGGGAUAAGCUUGGGAAACUGGGUCUAAUACCGGAUAGGAGCCAUCUUUAGUGUGGUGGCUGGAAAGUUUUUUCGGUGUAGGAUGAGCUCGCGGCCUAUCAGCUUGUUGGUGGGGUAAUGGCCUACCAAGGCGGCGACGGGUAGCCGGCCUGAGAGGGUGUACGGCCACAUUGGGACUGAGAUACGGCCCAG